CUACAUCAAGGAAAACUCUGCUUCGAUGACUUGAUUUUGAUGAACUAUCUGGUCCAUCAAACUUUCGGUUCACAUGAAAGUUUUCUGCAUUUUCAUCACUGCUGCCUGCGACCACUCCUUUUCUCUGUUCCGGUGACAUUCGAUCAUCAUCGUCAAUCAACCUCUGUUCAUGUUCAGCAUUUGCAGCAGCCAUAAAUCUCUGAGUUUCGAAAUCUACUGUCAGUAGAUUCGAAAAAUCAUGUGAAUC
rnacentral:lncRNA from 1 species